UGGGGAAUAUUGGACAAUGGGGGCAACCCUGAUCCAGCCAUGCCGCGUGAGUGAUGAAGGCCUUCGGGUUGUAAAGCUCUUUUGGCGGGGACGAUGAUGACGGUACCCGCAGAAUAAGCCCCGGCUAACUUCGUGCCAGCAGCCGCGGUAAGACGAAGGGGGCUAGCGUUGUUCGGAAUUACUGGGCGUAAAGCGAGUGUAGGCGGUUGCCGUAGUCAGGUGUGAAAGCCUUGAGCUCAACUCAAGAAAUGCACUUGAUACUGGGUGACUAGAGGACCGGAGAGGAUAGUGGAAUUCCCAGUGUAGUGGUGAAAUACGUAGAGAUGUGGAGGAAUACCGAUGGCGAAGGCAGCCCCCUGGGCCAAUACUGACGCUCAUGCACGAAAGCGUGGGGAGCAAACAGGAUUAGAUACCCUGGUAGUCCACGCCCUAAACGAUGUCAACUAGUUGUUGGGGGAUUCAUUUUCCUUAGUAACGUAGCUAACGCGUGAAGUUGACCGCCUGGGGGAGUACGGCCGCAAGGUUAAAAA
rnacentral:rRNA from 1 species